CCUACGGGAGGCUGCAGUGGGGAAUAUUGGACAAUGGGCGAAAGCCUGAUCCAGCCAUGCCGCGUGAGUGAUGAAGGCCCUAGGGUUGUAAAGCUCUUUCGUCAGGGACGCGGUACCUGAAGAAGAAGCCCCGGCUAACUUCGUGCCAGCAGCCGCGGUAAUACGAAGGGGGCUAGCGUUGUUCGGAAUCACUGGGCGUAAAGCGCACGUAGGUGGAUUGUUAAGUCAGAGGUGAAAUGCCAGGGCUCAACCUUGGAACUGCCUUUGAUACUGGCAAUCUCGAGUCCGGGAGAGGUGAGUGGAACUGCGAGUGUAGAGGUGAAAUUCGUAGAUAUUCGCAAGAACACCAGUGGCGAAGGCGGCUCACUGGCCGGACUGACACUGAGGUGCGAAAGCGUGGGGAGCAAACAGGAUUAGAUACCCUUGUAGUC
rnacentral:rRNA from 1 species